UGGGGAAUAUUGCACAAUGGGCGGAAGCCUGAUGCAGCGACGCCGCGUGGGGGAUGACGGCCUUCGGGUUGUAAACCUCUUUCAGUGCAGAACAAGGCUCUUUGUGGGUUGAGGGUAUGCGCAGAAGAAGCACCGGCUAACUACGUGCCAGCAGCCGCGGUCAUACGUAGGGUGCAAGCAUUAUCCGGAGUGACUGGGCGUAAAGAGUUGCGUAGGUGGUUUGUUAAGUGAAUAGUGAAAUCUGACGGCUCAACCGUAUAGACUAUUAUUCAAACUGGCAAACUCGAGAAUGGUAGAGGUAACUGGAAUUUCUUGUGUAGGAGUGAAAUCCGUAGAUAUAAGAAGGAACACCAAUGGCGUAGGCAGGUUACUGGACCAUUUCUGACACUGAGGCACGAAAGCGUGGGGAGCGAACCGG
rnacentral:rRNA from 1 species